rnacentral:rRNA from 1 species
GACGAACGCUGGCGGCGUGCUUAACACAUGCAAGUCGAGCGGUAAGGCCCUUUCGGGGGUACACGAGCGGCGAACGGGUGAGUAACACGUGGGUGACCUGCCUUUAGCUCUGGGAUAAGCCUGGGAAACUGGGUCUAAUACCGGAUAUGACCCUAUGGCGCAUGUUGUGGGGUGGAAAGCCUUGUGCGGCUAGGGAUGGGCCCGCGGCCUAUCAGCUUGUUGGUGGGGUGAUGGCCUACCAAGGCGACGACGGGUAGCCGGCCUGAGAGGGCGACCGGCCACACUGGGACUGAGACACGGCCCAGACUCCUACGGGAGGCAGCAGUGGGGAAUCUUGCGCAAUGGGCGAAAGCCUGACGCAGCGACGCCGCGUGAGGGAUGACGGCCU